rnacentral:rRNA from 1 species
ACGGGUGAGUAACACGUGGGCAAUCUGCCCUUCACUCUGGGACAAGCCUUGGAAACGGGGUCUAAUACCGGAUAACACUGCGGAUCGCAUGGUCUGCGGUUAAAUGCUCCGGCGGUGAAGGAUGAGCCCGCGGCCUAUCAGCUUGUUGCUGAGGUAAUGGCUCACCAAGGCGACGACGGGUAGCCGCCCUGAGAGGGCGACCGGCCACACUGGGACUGAGACACGGCCGAGACUCCUACGGGAGGCAGCAGUGGGGAAUAUUGCACAAUGGGCGAAAGCCUGAUGCAGCGACCCCGCGUGAGGGAUGACGGCCUUCGGGUUGUAAACCUCUUUCAGCAGGGAAGAAGCGAAAGUGACGGUACCUGCAGAAGAAGCGCCGGUUAACUACGUGCCAGCAGCCGCGGUAAUACGUAGGGCGCAAGCGUUGUCCGGAAUUAUUGGGCGUAAAGAGCUCGUAGGCGGCUUGUCACGUCGAUUGUGAAAGCCCGAGGCUUAACCUCGGGUCUGCAGUCGAUACGGGCUAGCUAGACUGUGGUAGGGGAGAUCGGAAUUCCUGGUGUAGCGGUGAAAUGCGCAGAUAUGAGGAGGAACACCGGUGGCGAAGGCGGAUCUCUGGGCCAUUACUGACGCAGAGGAGCGAAAGCGUGGGGAGCGAACAGGAUUAGAUACCCUGGUAGUCCACGCCGUAAACGGUGGGCACUAGGUGUUGGCGACAUUCCACGUUGACCGUGCCGCAGCUAACGCAUUAAGUGCCCCGCCUGGGGAGUACGGCCGCAAGG